UACGUAGGGGGCAAGCGUUGUCCGGAUUUACUGGGCGUAAAGAGCGUGUAGGCGGCCACGCAGGUCCGUUGUGAAAACUCGAGGCUCAACCUCCAGCUGUCGACGGAAACCGUGUGGCUAGAGUCCGGAAGAGGAGAGUGGAAUUCCUGGUGUAGCGGUGAAAUGCGCAGAUAUCAGGAAGAACACCAAUGGCGAAGGCAGCUCUCUGGGACGGUACUGACGCUGAGACGCGAAAGCGUGGGGAGCGAACAGG
rnacentral:rRNA from 1 species